UUUCUAAUCAGACAUUCAUUAAAUCAAGUUGAAAUAACUGAAUUUAAAUAAUUUUUAUAUUUUUAUUCCAUUAAUGUCAGUGUUAAUGACGGGCUGAUGCACAGUUGCGCACUCUGGGAGACUAUGCUAGUACUAUGCAAGUGGUGGUCAUAUAUUUGCCGAUGCGAUCUAUAGGAAAUUGAGUGAGUCGGACUGGGGUGGUCAAAGUGUCCGUUUAUUUUUACGUUACAAAGUGUAUUUUUUUGUAAUUUUCAGUUUGUUUUAAUCAAUAUUCUCUAAUAUUCUAUUCUUGGACGUGUUAAGCAGUAACAGUGAAGUGAAAUAUGAUUUAUUUUGGAAGGAAUGAAAAAGUAUCAUUGUCCAAAUAUUCGAAAAAUCAAAAAGUUAGGUUAUGUUUACCAAAUUCGACAAAUUUUACAUCUUUUACAAGUUUUCCCCAGUAGCACGUAAUAUUACAGCGAUAUUGGGAACAUUGCCUUAACAUUACCAAUAUUGCCUCAAUGUUGUGCCAUAUUGCUGGAAUGUUCCCAAUAUUACGUGCUGCUUGGGUUACGGUUUUACAAUUACAAUUUCGACAAAUUUUCACUAUAUUUAUUGAAUUAUCAUUAUGGAUAUGAUAGAAAAAUAAUUACUGCGUUUAUUGUGAAGAACAGAAAUAUUUGCACAAGUCCCUUUAGGUUCCCUAUAAGGAAACCGAAUGGAUAUCAAUAAUAAUUCUACUAAUCUACUCCAUCCGAAAUAGAUGAUGAUAUUAGCCAAACUUUAUAAGGAUAUAAAGCAAUUAUCAGAAACAAGCAGGUCCUCUGAUCGGAAUAACACGCAUGCGCAUUACGUGAUUGACCAGCGAACAAUCGGCAGAAGAUAAAAAAAUAAGUAAUUUUGGAGAAUUAACAAGAAGAUGUUCGUCACCCUUGGAAAAUGUGGAUCAUCAUCAACUUCACCACAAAAGGAAUAGAAAAGAAGAAAAAAAAAGUCACCCUUGCCAAGUGAUCAAAAUCCGAUUACUCAAAUACAGCAGUCGAGAUAAUAGCUACAGAGGGGCGCAAAUAGACGAAAAACAAAACAGGACCUAAUAAAACAGAGUUCGACAACAAAAAAGAAGGGAAAAAGUUUAAAAAUAGGUUUUCUAGCUGACCUGAAUUUGAAAUCAACUGGGCUUUCAAGAGGAAUUCGACUUUUUUUCCACCCUCAGGUCGAGUCAUUUCAAGAAGAGCCCAGAAUUUUAGAGUCUCGGGAAAAUCCGAUUUUUCGCCAAAUUCGACGAAUUUCAACAGAAAUAAACUAUUCAAGUUUCAAGAGGAAGAAAACUCCAAGGCCUUAUUUUUGUUUUCAGUUGCAAAAUAUACAAAAAUAGCUUUCAGUGCACAGUGAAGAUGACAACGACGAAGUAGAUGAUGAUGAUGAUGAUAGUUUGUGGAUGUUAAUUGUACGGGGGCUUAGGUGGCAAGCCAUUACCGUUAAUCUGCUAACUCGGGUCAAUAGGCUGCUGCUACACACGAUAUUCCUUACAUGCACCUAGGAUGGCAACACAUUAUAACCACCUGACAGUAACACAUAACCGAACAGCAGCCAAGAAGAGCUUAAAGUGCAUUUUGAGGUUGUUUACCUACGCAUAUAUGCACACACAUUCCCCACGUGUCAACCUUCACACUUAUAUAAGGUUCCAAGCAAGCAAUUGGAUCCUGAAUUUGUCAACUUGAUCUUACGGACAAAAAGAAGGAGAAGAGAGGAGGAGGAGGGGAAUGAGAGGAUUUGUAACGAGAACAGUGUACUGGGUUUGCAUUUUGCUAGACUUUACUCAACGGGCAUGUAUGUAUACCUAUUCUAUUCCUUUGUGGUUUUCUCCGAUAUCCAACCAUGAAUACUUCACGCGUUCCUGAAAGCGCAAUCAUUGUUCCUGCAGAUGAAAAGUGCAAACAAGGACUUCUGCGGACGGCAAAACAGAUACAAAGUUACGUUACUUGUGCUCAAUUCAAAAAUAGCUCAAUAAUGUCGUGUAAACCUUGAAAAUUAAUCGAUAUUUAUAUGUAUUAAAAAAAAUAAUAAAUAAUUUUA